rnacentral:lncRNA from 1 species
UGCAAGGAAGGCUCGCAUGGUAAUGAAAUUAAAGUACAUAUAAAACUCAUUGUGUCAUUUAGAUAGGCUUGUCUGUUAUGUUUCGUUCUUCUUACUGUUAACUAUUCCUUUAAUUCUUAUUUUCUUCUCUUUUGUUAUUCAAAUUCUCAAUGCACCUGCUAUUCUCUAGACACCAAUGUUUAUUUUCUUCUAUUUUAUUAUGUAAGGAUAAGAUGAAGAAAAAGAAGGAUGGAGUUAAAGGAGAAAGUAUUCAAGAAGCACUUGAGGUAGUGAUGGUGAUCUUUCAAAUGACAAUGAUACAUGUGCUGAACUAAAGACCAUGACAUGGCCGAUGACUUAUAUUAUGUAUUUUGUUGUUGGUUUCAAAUAUGCACAUGGUAUACCUGUUUUGUUACCGACUCAAUGACUUAGAAUCUUGUUAGCAUCUCAAUAUGUUUAGAGGUGUUACGAUGCUUAUGUUAGCUUUUGAGAAACUUGUAUGUAUUGGAUGUAAUGAAAUGUGAUUAACUAAAGUAUUGCCUCAUAUUUGUUAUGAAUUCUAAUUCUAGAUGACGAAGCAGGGAAUAUAUAUGUGGUAAUUGGUUUGUCACGAAUUGUUCCUAAUAGGUUUAUGAUUUUGACACAUGUGACAUAAAUUGCACCACAUGUCAAAGGAAUAUGUGACGCUUUCAGUCUCACUUAUCCUCAACCAUAGCAUUCUAGGAUCAAAUUGGGUGACGAUAAAUUCCUCACUUAUACAUUUGUUAUGUGACGAACUUAUAGGUCACUGACUUUUAUAUUUUGUGACGCUUAUUUCGUCACAGUUAAAGUUAUUAAGUGACGAAUUUGGCAUCAUAAAUACUAAAAAUAUGUGGCGAAUGUAAAAUUCAUCACAUGAACUAUAGGUGACGCUGUAUAGGUGACGAACAUAGUGACUCUGGAUUUUUGUCACAUAUGAUCAAAUGUGAUGAAUUUUCAUGUUUAUGUGACGAAUGUCUGUCGCCACCUAAGCCAUAUUUUCUUGUAGUGACCUAAGUGGCCAAUUUCUCAUCUAGGUUCAACCCCACCAAGAACCCAGACCCCAAUUCGACCAAAACCGAAAUCUUUGAAUUGAUUUGCCGCACCUUCUAGAAUUUGUUAGAGGGAGAUAGAUGAAUGUAGACAAAAAUGGUGAAAUAGUAGAAAAAAGUGG